AGCAAAGGAUGCAAGCGAAUAUUUGCUAUCUGAGUGGCACUGCUGACAAGGCUCAUCCACCAAGAUCUCUGA
ensembl:snoRNA SNORD24 Small nucleolar RNA SNORD24